CCCUUAGAGUUUGAUCCUGGCUCAGAAUGAACGCUGGCGGCAUGCCUAACACAUGCAAGUCGAACGAAGCCUUCGGGCUUAGUGGCGCACGGGUGCGUAACGCGUGGGAAUCUGCCUUGGGGUUCGGAAUAACUCAGAGAAAUUUGAGCUAAUACCGGAUGAUGUCUACGGACCAAAGAUUUAUCGCCCUGAGAUGAGCCCGCGUGAGAUUAGCUAGUUGGUGGGGUAAAGGCCCACCAAGGCGACGAUCUCUAGCUGGUCUGAGAGGAUGAUCAGCCACACUGGGACUGAGACACGGCCCAGACUCCUACGGGAGGCAGCAGUGGGGAAUAUUGGACAAUGGGCGAAAGCCUGAUCCAGCAAUGCCGCGUGAGUGAUGAAGGCCUUAGGGUUGUAAAGCUCUUUUACCCGGGAUGAUAAUGACAGUACCGGGAGAAUAAGCUCCGGCUAACUCCGUGCCAGCAGCCGCGGUAAUACGGAGGGAGCUAGCGUUAUUCGGAAUUACUGGGCGUAAAGCGCACGUAGGCGGCUUUGCAAGUUAGAGGUGAAAGCCUGGAGCUCAACUCCAGAACUGCCUUUAAAACUGCAUCGCUUGAAUCCAGGAGAGGUGAGUGGAAUUCCGAGUGUAGAGGUGAAAUUCGUAGAUAUUCGGAAGAACACCAGUGGCGAAGGCGGCUCACUGGACUGGUAUUGACGCUGAGGUGCGAAAGCGUGGGGAGCAAACAGAUUAGAUACCCUGGUAGUCCACGCCGUAAACGAUGAUAACUAGCUGUCUGGGUGCCUGGCACUUAGUGGCGCAGCUAACGCAUAAGUUAUCCGCCUGGGGAG
rnacentral:rRNA from 1 species